rnacentral:rRNA from 1 species
GACGAACCAAGCAAACGUUGUUCGGAUUCACUGGGCUUAAAGGGCGCGUAGGCGGUCUCUCAAGUCCGGGGUGAAAUCUUUCGGCUUAACCGGAAAAUUGCCUUGGAUACUGUGAGGCUCGAGGGAGGUAGGGGUCACGGGAACAUCCAGUGGAGCGGUGAAAUGCGUUGAUAUUGGAUGGAACGCCGGUGGCGAAAGCGCGUGACUGGACCUUUUCUGACGCUGAGUGCGCGAAAGCCAGGGUAGCGAACGGG